rnacentral:rRNA from 1 species
UACGGAGGAUGCAAGCGUUAUCCGGAAUGAUUGGGCGUAAAGGGUCCGCAGGUGGCAGUGUAAGUCUGCUGUCAAAGAAUGAGGCUUAACCUCAUCAAGGCAGUGGAAACUACACAGCUAGAGUACGGUCGGGGUAGAAGGAAUUCCUGGUGUAGCGGUGAAAUGCGCAGAUAUCAGGAGGAACACCUAUUGCGAAGGCAGCUCGCUGGGACGUAACUGACGCUGAGACGCGAAAGCGUGGGGAGCAAACAGG